UACGGGGGGGGCAAGCGUUGUUCGGAAUUACUGGGCGUAAAGGGCGCGUAGGCGGCCUGCUAAGUCGGGUGUGAAAACUCUGGGCUCAACCCAGAGCCUGCAUUCGAUACUGACGGGCUAGAGUUCUGGAGGGGAAAGCGGAAUUCCUGGUGUAGCGGUGAAAUGCGUAGAUAUCAGGAGGAACACCGGUGGCGAAGGCGGCCUUCUGGACAGAAACUGACGCUGAGGCGCGAAAGCUAGGGGAGCAAACAGG
rnacentral:rRNA from 1 species